AAACUGUGUCACUGGACACAGCAAAACCACUGUCCUCAUAAACUCCCAGCAACUGUUGGCGUCUGUACAAUUUCAAGCCAGUCAUGAAUGGGAAGAGCUCAUAAACCCCACCCCUGGCUGAGUAGCUAUUGGCAGUUGAUGGCUGCCAAGAGAUGGAGAGUCGGUUUUCUUUAUGAGUGUGAUAAGUUAGCCACGCUUCAGUGGAUGGCCCCUCAACCAUGCGUUGUAGGGCAUUGACUGGAUUCCAUUGAUGAGCUAUAAAAAUGAAGACAUGAACUUGGGAGAGGGAUGAGAAAGAGAGAGAGACGUGGAAGGGACUGGAAGCAGGGACCGGGAAGGGUCAUGAUCAAAAUACAUCAUAUGAACAUAUUAAAUUCUCAAAGAGUAAAUUAAAAUAUGAUGUUAAAAUAAGCAAAAAAAAAAAAGGCAGUUGCUCAGAAACAGAAGGAAAUAAAGUUUUACUUGCUUUGAAAGUCUUAAAAAAAAAAGUGGACAGAUGCAAUGACCUGUGAACCCCAGCACUCCUAAAACAAGCCACUGAGCCAACUAUCCCCAGAGACACAGGUCAUCUGCAAACGGUUCAGGGAUUGUUAAGAUACUACAUUCUACUGUCAAUAUAUACCCAUUUCUGAAUGGCUAGGAAAGUGCCAAGUGGCUCUCGACAACUCAGGAAUGUGUCAGAGACCACAAAUAAACAGCAGAUGUUCACAGGCGUCCUUGAUGGAGCCUUGCCACAGCCCAAUGCUGGUCAGUCCUAUUGGGCUUCCAGCUGCCCGAGGGAAAUUUUGUGAUAGAUAGUAGGUCCAAUCUCAUCCGGACUAACCGUAUCCCUUCCUCUUCCUUCCUUCCCAAGAGAAGAAAGCAGGGGGAACAUAUAGUAACUGGACUUGGUGCUGGCGAGCCAGUGUGAAUCCAGGAUGCUUCCAGCUGUUUGUGGCCCUGCCUCCUUCUGUGGAUUGUAAGGGAGUCCCAGCUCAUUUCUAGCUCAGCGAUGGGAAUAGUCAUUUGGUUUACCUACCAUGAGGUGAGCUCCCCACGGCACCACGCCUUUCCCCCCUUUCCAGAAGGAAUUCUAUGGACUCAGAUUGGUAAUUUUAGACCAGGCCAGGCAGGGACAGACAAGAAUCCACAGAUCUGUCCAUAGCCUGUGACUAACAGUAAAGAGCAACAGCCAAAUAGCAACCUACAGUGGAAGGCUCAUUGGCAGAUGGAGUUUUUAACUAUUUGUUUCUAAGGGAGUGUCUGAUCCAGGCAUAAGCCAAGUCUUAUAUCUCAACAAGUCAACUUACUUUUUACCUGGUCACUACCUUAUUUGUCCCCUUUAUGGUAACAGGGAUAUUAAUAAAACAAAGACACUGUAAAUCUGGCUAUGUGGUACUUCCUCAUAGCUAUUCCUUCUUAACUAGGAGGGAGAGAGAAUUCUCUCCUGACUGAUGCUCUUCUAGAUAUCUCCAUCCUAACUCCCUAUAUAGCUGUAUCUUAUUAUUUGCUUCAGGAGGGGCUGCUCAUGGAAUUCUGGGGUCUCAGUUGUCCUCUGGUAAUCAGAUCUUUAGCUCUGCCCUUUGCUCACCAUGGUCAACAUGCAAGAAUAUGGCCAGAGACCUGAGGCAGAGCUUAUCAAAACAGAGAUAAUUUGUGAAGACAUCACGAGUACAUUUGGGAGUGCAUACAUUCGUGUAUGUGUUUGUGUGUGUGUGUGUGUGUGUGUGUGUGUGUGUUUAAAGCAGUGUCUGGCUGAUUCUGGAGGAAGGUGUAAGUGGGUGGGGUCAUUCUGGUACCAUACACUACCUUGACUCAUGAUCUAUCCAAUAGGUUCAGUACCUUUAGCUUCUUGAGCACUUAAUCACUGUUUUGGUUCGCUUUAGUUUUAAUAAAAGUUCCAUGUAGCCC
rnacentral:lncRNA from 1 species